GUCUGAAGGCGGGAUUACUCGGGCCGUCGGUUUUGUGCUGUUUGCCCAUCUGUGUUUUUCAAGUUAUUGUCAACGAACACUUCUAGGCUCAGGAGUGGUACUUUGUGAAGGAAGAGCUAACGGAUUUCAAUCAGAAACAUCGAAGAAAAACAAACACUGUGCUCCUCCCCGUCGGGGAAUCGAACCCCGGUCUCCCGCGUGACAGGCGGGGAUACUCACCACUAUACUAACGAGGACUGAGCUAGCGAAACACCUCCCCAAACCCUGGAUCUGAUACCUUCACUCAGCGCGCUACCGGCAAGGUUCCUGAGGAUUCUGUCCUUCCGAGCCCUAAGAAAUGCUGUCCCGAAAACCAUGCGCGUUCUAGACCCUACCUGAGCGUGAGUCCCCAGAAGGGUAGUAACGAGCAGGAGUGACCGAGAGACAGACGGGCUGCGAGGCUGCAAAGACCUGAGUCCUGAAAGUCCCUGGGGUCUCACAAACACCACCCUGAAGAGGUCUCACUUCAUUUCACUACCUGUCAUCCACUACUAUAGGUUGACAGGCAUCAAUCAAACCGAAACCAGGCUCUGGUGGCACAGGAGAAGCACCCAGCAGGAAGGAGGGGAGCAGACAGUGAAUGUCUUGGCCAAGUCUGGAGGUGCCUGCGUUCUCCCUGGCACACUAGGAAGGACCGUGCACUGUGAGCCUCUUCCUGCCACCGGGGUAUCCACUCAAAACAAGAGACCUUACUGCCCUCCUCCUUGAAGCGCUCAGUUCGCUCUUAUCACUUCCCAGUCGAGCCUCCGCAGCGCCGUUCCAAUAACAAGCACCUUAGGGCACGCUCUCGUCUCCGCAAAAACCAAAGUAGGGCUCGUCCGGGAUUUGAACCCGGGACCUCUCGCACCCGAAGCGAGAAUCAUACCCCUAGACCAACGAGCCGACAUGCGACGGCCAUCGCGGACACCCUUAGAGGUCGUACUAGACUUUCCGCAGCCCUAGCGCCUUGAUUCAAGGCCAAACGGUCCUGGCGCGCGCUCAGGGACCACUGGCCCCCGUGCUGCAUACUCUGGAGGAGGGAUCCGGGAAUCUCUCUGCUCGCUGGCCGCCAGCUCCGACUCCUCCCAGGAAAUAACGUCGGGGAAGUAGGAGGGAGUGGUCUCGGCCUCGCCCCCGCGCAGCCCUCCAGGACUGCUUUCAGCACCCGAGUUCCCGCUCCCUGUGGCCACUGUCUCCGCGCCGUUCCAUAACCUGGGGUCUCGACUCUUCCCGCCUCCGCCCGCCGUCCUCGGACUCAGCCUCCCGGCGCAGAGAGCUUUGAAGACAAGCGGUGGAAUUAGCUGGUUGGGGACAGUUAAUAAGAAACCUCUAGGUGAACUCCAGUCCCUCUUUCUGUCCCUGCAUCUGUCCAUCCUCCUGGAGUGACGGGCAGGGCCAACCCCGGGCCAGACUCUUCGAUAGCCCACGGUCUCUCUAGACCGCGUGGUAGUUCCCAGGCAAGGGAGCAAUUCCUGAGGCCAAGAAGACUCACGGAGGAGGCAUCACUGAGAGGAGUGGCUGGAGGGGUGGGGUAGGGGGACCGUCUUUCCAACCUGCCUGAGUGCUGCGACGCGCCAGGCAAUGCGACCAGGGCCGUCCCUGACGCCUAAAACACCUGCCAGCGCUGGUCCCAGGACUUCCUGCCUUUAAGAACAGGUUACCCCUACCCUUUCGUCUAGCUUCUGCUCUCCAGUUACCUCCUAGGAUGUCCGGGAAGGAGACCCUCUUACCUGCCGCCUAAGACCCCCAAAAGGGUUUGGCCCUUCACUUUAUCUUUCCCAGGUGUCCUGGCCGGACAGUGGGGGAGGGCAGCAGAGAACAGCCCAUCCUUUCCUGUUAGCUCCCAAGCCUUUCAGCAUUUACUUCUACUCUCACCAGCCUGGCUUCAGUGCUCUGGAAAUGUGCCCUGGCCUUCCACACCAGGCUCUCUGGAGACCCCACUGAGAAUGUGUUCUCUUCUACUCCCACCCUAUCGACACGGUCCCAGUGCUUCCCUACUCUCUAGCAGGAUACCAGAUGGCGCCAGGACAACCAUAUCUCCUGAUAACUCCUAACCCUGACUGCCAGUUUGUGGAGACAAAUGAAGAUAACUAUACAUAAGGGGCCUGGUACAGGAACUGCACAUAGAAGACACCCCCCAUUCCUCAAAUUUUUUAAUAAAAAAUAUUAAAAAUAUAGUAUAUUAUAUGUACUUACAUAAUUUUGAGGCCCUAAACCAAAAGAAAUACAGUGAAGAAUCAAACAAAACAAAUCGACUCAGGUUCUAGGGGAUGUCCUGGGUAGGGGAAGAUGCGAGGGCGGCGGAGUGGCCCCCAGGGCUGGCCCACAAGCACCAGAGGGGUGUGGCAUAAGCUGGGGAGAGGAAGGUGUAGGCCUGCGCCGGAUUUCCGCCCUGGUUGCUGGGCAAGCUUUUAGAGCGGCGGUCUCCUGGGACAGGCAGCUCAGCUCAGCAGGAAAUCUGGAACCCUUGCGUUCUCUAGUAUAAAAACAAUUGAUAAAUCCAUCGGAGGGUACAGAUGCAGCGGCAAAAAGUGAG
ensembl:lncRNA